rnacentral:rRNA from 1 species
AGGAUAAACGCUGGCGGCGUGCAUGAGACAUGCAAGUCGAACGGACACUUGGGGCUUGCUCCAAGUGUUAGUGGCGGACGGCUGAGUAACGCGUAGGUGACCUGCCCCGAAGUGGGGAAUAACUGCCCGAAAGGGUGGCUAAUACCGCAUGUGGUGGUGUGUUCAUUCACACCAGUAAAGCCGCAAGGCGCUUCGGGAGGGGCCUGCGUCCGAUUAGCUCGUUGGUGGGGUAACGGCUCACCAAGGCGACGAUCGGUAGGUGGUCUGAGAGGACGAUCACCCAGACUGGGACUGAGACACGGCCCAGACUCCUACGGGAGGCAGCAGUCGGGAAUUUUGCGCAAUGGACGAAAGUCUGACGCAGCAACGCCGCGUGAGGGAUGAAGGCCUUCGGGUUGUAAACCUCUUUUUAUCAGGGAAGAUAAUGACGGUACCUGAUGAAUAAGUCACGGCUAACUACGUGCCAGCAGCCGC